rnacentral:rRNA from 1 species
GUAAGGAAUAUUGGUCAAUGGACGGAAGUCUGAACCAGCCAUCCCGCGUGCAGGAUGACUGCCCUAUGGGUUGUAAACUGCUUUUAGCAGAGACGAAACGCCUUUAUUUAUGAGGGUCUGACGGUAUCUGCAGAAUAAGCACCGGCUAACUCCGUGCCAGCAGCCGCGGUAAUACGGAGGGUGCAAGCGUUAUCCGGAAUCACUGGGUUUAAAGGGUGCGUAGGCGGAUAUUUAAGUCAGUGGUGAAAUCUUGUCGCUUAACGAUAAAAUUGCCAUUGAUACUGAAUGUCUUGAAUUGGGUUGAGGUUAGCGGAAUGUGACAUGUAGCGGUGAAAUGCAUAGAUAUGUCAUGGAACACCAAUUGCGAAGGCAGCUAGCUGGGCCUUGAUUGACGCUGAGGCACGAAAGCGUGGGUAGCGAACAGGAUUAGAAACCCCAGUAGUCC